UACAGAGGGGGCAAGCGUUAUUCGGAAUCAUUGGGCGUAAAGCGCACGUAGGCGGUUAGGUAAGUCGGAUGUGAAAGCCCAGGGCUCAACCCUGGAAGUGCAUCCGAAACUGUCUGACUUGAGUCCCGGAGAGGGUGGUGGAAUUCCUGGUGUAGAGGUGAAAUUCGUAGAUAUCAGGAGGAACACCGGUGGCGAAGGCGACCGCCUGGACGGAGACUGACGCUGAGGUGCGAAAGCGUGGGUAGCAAAC
rnacentral:rRNA from 1 species